UACGUAGGGGGCAAGCGUUGUCCGGAUUUAUUGGGCGUAAAGAGCGUGUAGGCGGCCAGGUAGGUCUGCUGUGAAAAACUCGAGGCUCAACCUCGAGAUGUCGGCGGAAACCAUCUGGCUAGAGUCCGGAAGAGGAAAGUGGAAUUCCCGGUGUAGCGGUGAAAUGCGCAGAUAUCGGGAAGAACACCCGUGGCGAAGGCGGCAUCCUGGACCGGUAUUGACGGCUGAGGCGCGAAAGCCAGGGGAGCAAACGGG
rnacentral:rRNA from 1 species